rnacentral:rRNA from 1 species
UACGGAGGGGGCUAGCGUUGUUCGGAAUUACUGGGCGUAAAGCGCGCGUAGGCGGACCUGCAAGUCGGGGGUGAAAGCCCGAGGCUCAACCUCGGAACUGCCUUCGAUACUGCGGGUCUCGAGUCCGGGAGAGGUGAGUGGAAUUCCUAGUGUAGAGGUGAAAUUCGUAGAUAUUCGGAAGAACACCAGUGGCGAAGGCGGCUCACUGGACCGGCAUUGACGCUGAGGUGCGAAAGCGUGGGGAGCAAACAGG